rnacentral:rRNA from 1 species
UACGGAGGGAGCUAGCGUUGUUCGGAAUUACUGGGCGUAAAGCGCACGUAGGCGGCUUUGUAAGUUAGAGGUGAAAGCCCGGGGCUCAACCCCGGAAUUGCCUUUAAGACUGCAUCGCUUGAAUCCGGGAGAGGUGAGUGGAAUUCCGAGUGUAGAGGUGAAAUUCGUAGAUAUUCGGAAGAACACCAGUGGCGAAGGCGGCUCACUGG